UAUUAUGAAUUUGGUGCAUUUAAUUCCAGUGAAGUAUUUUUCCAGCCUUUUUUUCCUAAUUUACGUAUAUUUAUGUUAUGGGAGGGACGGCGAUCACGGAAUCGCAAGACUUUGACGCGGUCCCGCGUAAUAGCUGUUUGAAUUCAAAUAGCCUUUUACGCGGAAAGCCGCGCUUCGCUUCUCAAACAAACCGCCAAUCGACGACGGACGACGCCAGCGCGCGACACCCGCGCUGUGAACCGUCGGCCGGCCGUUGGGUGAACCGGAUUGAAAAGUCACCAGUUUAUCAUCGACGACCCGCACGAGACGGACACCGACACGUCCCCGGCCAAUCGUCUUUUCUCUUAUUUUUUUUUGUUUGUUUUGGACUCGCGUUAAAACGGUUACCGACCGGGCAAAUACCGUAACAAUAAAGUUAACCAUCGCAGUGCAAAAGUUGUGUUUUUUGGUUUUUUUUUUUUCUGUUGUCGUAUAACCUUUGGUUACCUCAACCUCACCUCACCCACGCGGCCCCAAUUAGGUCCGCAUCAACUUCCAGGAGGGAACGAACGCGAUCACCAAUAAUUUCCGGAUUAUUACCUAUGUACUAUCCCGAAUUUUUUUUAUUCCCGUUAAAUACUUUCGCGAUUUAUUCAUUUCUGCGUAAUAAUUGUUCGUGUGUAAUUUUUCUCGUGUAAACGUGAAAUGUUUUAGAUUGUAGAAUCGUACGGCGAACGUGGUGACUGCCGGUCGAUAAAACAGAAGUCUACUGUCGGGGACCAUUUGGUAAUUUGUAACUAUGUACCGAUGGAACGAACAAAAGUAUUCGUUACUGAUUUAUAAUCCAAGACCGUGAUUACAGGAGUUCCGCUUAUCACUAGUCGGUAGUCUACUGUUUUCGUAGUUUUCGUGACAGAAUAAUAUUUUUUUUUACCCUGUGUGUUUGUCUACCUAAAAUAAUAAAUACGUGCUUUUCAAACAUUAAUUUUUAAUAAUACAAAUAAUAUCUCAUAUAUUUGUGACUAUAAAAUCAAAAAGUUACGUAUUUCUAGGUUUCAUUCAUGUACUUUGUGCCAAAUAGCGUCAGUACGCAUUCAACGUGUUAACUACCACGAGAAAAAGUACACCUCAAAACACAAUCAUCGGUCUAUAGGAGACCUAGAUCCAGGUAUCGUAUACAUUCCAAGCCUGAGUGAUCGAGACUACCCACGUCCAUUGAUCGGGUUCAUUUUUCUAAGUUCCAACUGCAUAUAUCAUGCAAUAGAUCUAAUAACACCAAUGUCAAUCGUGAAAGAGUUAUUUAUCAUGGGAAUACUGAAAAAUACUAAAGAACAGAUUAAAACCAGGCGCUGUUCUAUCAUUAUUUUUAGAUAACGCACCUAAUGCUUUGCUGACAGUGUCAAUUAAUGAGGUGCCUGUAUUAAGUACAUGUGAAGAUCAAUUGAUAAGUCCAAUAGUAAAUGAAGCUGCUGAACAGUCAUCAGAAGACAACACAACAAUGUAAAAGAUAAUACUUCCAUGACAAUUGAUGAUUCAUCUAAUAGCUUGUCCAUUACUUUGGAACCAAUUGAAAAAAGAACUUCACAAUGUUUUGGAAUACUGAAGAUUUUACAAUGGAUGAACACGGGUUUAUUUUACAAGAAAUAAAAAUAAUGUUCUAGGUACUAUGUAAAAAAUUCCUAGAACAUUAUUUUGAAUUUCUUUAAAAUGCCUAUUACAACAACGAAAGAGUCAAACGAUCUUUUAUAAAAAAUUCAUAGUAUUGAAAAAUGUUGUGGUAGGGGUAGAUUUGUCUUUGAACAAUGUAUACGGUAUUUUGAAAAUAGUUUAGAAGAACUAUUAAAAGUUUUAAAAACAAAGUGAGUCUACUGGAGGAUCCUAAGUCCUAAUAUAAGACACUCGUUCUUUGAAAAACUAUUAAUAUUUUUAAAAUAUAUUUUUCCAUAACUUAAAGUUGUCAAAGUACCAAAUUUACGCUUAGCAGAUAAAGUUUAGCUCUGUUAGUUUAAAAAUUAUAGUGAAUCGACCUAUAAUAAUACUUGAGGUUAAGAACAUUAUCUGUGUUCGUGUUUUUUUUUUACGAUUUUACAGUAUUUAAGUGAGUUAUGAUCAUUUUUAAUUUACGUUAUAUUAUGUACGCAUCACUUGUUAAAAAUUGAACUAUCGUAAACUAUGAUAAGUACACUAUCUGUGUUCGUAUGUUGGUUACACAAAUAAUGUCCUUACCAUCAAGUUUUGUAAUAGGUCGAUUCACUCUAAUUUUUAAACUAACAGAGCUAAACGUUAUCUACUGUGCGUAAUUUUGCUAUGUUACGCACAUGUAGGACAAAGACAACAAAUGUCCGUGUGGACAAUUGAUUCCUAUUUUUCUUAUAGAUUAAAACUCCCUACAAAAUACAGAUUUUUUUUAAAGAAAAGUAUUAAUUUUAUUAAUUAUUUUUUAGUGCAUAUUUGAAUAUUUUAAUGUAAUAUUAAUAUAUUAAUUAAAACCAUCUGUAAUAUAAUAUUUGAUAUUCCAGAUGGUUUUAAAGCGAGUCUACGUUGACAAUUUCUAAAAUAAUCAUCUAGUUCGGUUGAAUUCAAAGAACAAGAUCAUUCCCUUACUGUAUUUUUGUGGACAAAAUUACACAUUGGCACCAUUUAAUCUGAAAUGUACGUUUAUAUUUUUCCUGGUAUUCUCAUAUGGAGAGUCAAAUUUAAAAUUGUAACUGUGACCAUUGAUCAUGUUUUGUAUUAUAAAUUUUAAAAUUUUAUGUACAUUUUGGACGAGAACUGAUCGUAAAACUAUUACCACGCUGAAAUGCUUAUGUACAGGCAACAGGCUUCGUGAAUUUUUAAGAAGUCAUCUGUCAUUAUAAGUCAUACCUAAUAUAUAAAAUUAAAAAUUAAAAGUAUGGCAAAUUAUUUUAAGUAAUUGUGUAUUUAUAAUUAUUUUAUUAUUAUAAUUAUUUAUUCUUAAAAUAGUAUAUUCAUGUCUGUCCAUAUUUAAAAAAUUUUGUAUUAAUUUUAGUAGAUUGGUUUUGGUUCAUAUUGUAUUAUAGUGUAUGGGUUGUGUACUGUGUGACCAACUCAUGUCUCAUACUGAUCGCAAUCACAUUUCGCAAUUUAAUUUUAUCUUGUAAAAUAUAUUUCCUAGUUUAUUUAUGUCGUACAAUGUGUCCGCGAAUUUAUUUUUUCUCAAACUAUAUGUUAUAUGUAUAUUUGUAUUAUAACUAUAACUAUAAUGUGUCUAAUUAAACUGAAUGUUAAAUUUUUAACUUUUUUAAAUUUUUAAGAUUUUGAUGAAUUUUGUCAAAAAUUGAACUUUAAAUGCUUAUUGGACUUGUGCCUGUGCAUCAUUAUUAUUUUUAAACUUAAAAAUCUUAAAUUAUUCAUUAUCUAUAUAAUAUGUAUGUAUUAUGCACAUUUAUGCA